CACGUAGGAGGCGAGCGUUGUCCGGAAUCAUUGGGCGUAAAGAGCGCGUAGGCGGCCUGAUCAGUCGGGUGUGAAAGCCCGGGGCUCAACCCCGGAACGGCACCCGAGACGGUCAGGCUGGAGACCGGGUGAGGAGGGUGGAAUAGCCAGUGUAGAGGUGAAAUUCGUAGAUAUUGGCUGGAACACCGGUGGCGAAAGCGGCUCUCUGGCCCGGUUCUGACGCUGAGGCGCGAAAGCGUGGGGAGCAAACAGG
rnacentral:rRNA from 1 species